AAACUAACAUAAGGUCCAUUGGCAGUAAAAUUAAGGAGUUCAUAUGGGCCAAAUGUAUCAUUCCCGGGUAGACCGAUGGUAGCAAAUAUGUCUGCAAUCCGUUGAAUUUCACUUUUGUUAAAUUCAUGAGAAUCAUUGGAUAACUGAGGGAAGAAUUUCAAGAACAUUCUUAGCUUUGGACCCUCUUCCCAAGCUAGUGAGUCAAUGAAAAACUGAUAAGGAUACAACUUAACAUUUCCAGUUAUGUACUCUUUGAAUUGAUCUCGGUAUGGAGGAAAGUCAGACAUGCUAGGACUUCUCAGCCGAAGUCCUACCCCAAAAGGUAUUGCACAAAAGCACUUAGCUGUUAAUA
rnacentral:lncRNA from 1 species